UACAGAGGUCUCAAGCGUUGUUCGGAUUCAUUGGGCGUAAAGGGCGCGUAGGCUGCGGGGCAAGUCGGGUGUGAAAUCUCAGAGCUCAACUGGGCGGGGUCAGCGGAUACGGCCGCACUUGAGCAAGCUAGGGGGCAAUGGAAUUCCCGGUGUAGUGGUGGAAUGCGUAGAUAUCGGGAGGAACACCAGUGGCGAAGGCGGUUGCCUGGAGCUUUGCUGACGCUGAGGCGCGAAAGCGUGGGGAGCGAUCCGG
rnacentral:rRNA from 1 species